rnacentral:snoRNA from 1 species
GCAUGGCAGAAUACUGUGUUCUUUCAUCAGUAGUUUACACAGCCAGACACCAUGCAAAAGUAGUCUUCCCUUUAAAAUGACUGGUGGUAUGCUAAGUUUUUCCAGAGCAUAUCAUUACUAAAGGCGAUUACAAAC